UCCUAAGAUAGUAAUGCUUGCAGAGGCACUGCAGCAGGCAAAGAAGAUAAACCCCUAUCUGAGGGCAAAGCCAAGAAGUGAUUUUCCCCCCUCCCUGCCACGGGAACUGUGACCUAAUUCUCAUUCCUAAUCACAGAAUCAAAGGAGAAAUUUAUUUCAAUGAGCUAGUCUGAAAGAGCUAUUUGCCAAAUGGCUUUCUUUCCAAUACUUAAUGAAAAGAUGCAUUUUGUACUACUUUCAAAAAGUGAUAUGGACAGGAGACGGAAAUACUGGGUAGAAAAGGGCAGUUCCCUGGCAAAGCCUCACCCUCAAGCCUGGAUACCUGCUGUCUUAAACGAAAACGAAAACAGGCAUUUCUGUGUUCAUGCUCCAAAAGUUAUCUUUUGGCCUGCCACACCCCCUAUCCUGCACCCAUAUGAAUCCCGAACCCCAGACUCCAGAAGCAGACCAGCAAGCCCGCAGACCAGCAGAAGGAUGGCAGAACGAUGUGGCAGAGAAAGGGAGAAGAGGAGGAACAUCUGAAUGCCAAAAUGAGUUCAGCUGGGGGCAGUCAGAGAGGAGUCCAGCCACUGGGCAGCCAGAAUCCAGGGGAGGAUCACCUUUCCACUUCAUCCCCUUCCUCUGCCUCCCCAUCCAUCCUGCUGAAAGCCACCUCCACCACUCAAUAAAACCUGCCAUUCAUCCUUGGAGUCCAUGUGUGACCUGAUUUUUCCAAGACACUGGACAAGAGCUCAGAUACAGAAAGCUAUCACCUUGGCCCUCUGCCCUUGUGAAAAGGCAGAGAGUUCAUUGAGCUGAUUAACACUCAAGCCAUCUGCAGACGGCAAAGCUGAAAGAGCAUUGUG
rnacentral:lncRNA from 1 species